GGGUGCGGCGGGCUGGCGUCUUCGUAUCGGUCUUGAAAACCGUCGAUGGGCAACUAUCCUAGAGUUCGAAUCUCUACGCUUCCGCCA
rnacentral:tRNA from 1 species